UCCAGUAGCACCUUAGAGAUCAACUAAGUUUGUUCUUGGUAUAAGCUUUUGUGUGGAUGCACACUUCUUCAGAUACACGAAAGUGCACAAAAGAUACACUUUGUGCUUAUACCAAAAACAAACUUAGUUGGUCUCCAAGGUGCUACUGGA